UUAGAAAAACAGGAGAAAGAAUGGGGCCGUAGCUUCCCGAGAGCGGAGCCGACCCCCCGCGGGGCGGGGCGGGGCGGGGCGGGGCGCGGCGGGGGAGCUGGGAAGGCCGGCCGGGGAGGCGGCGGAGCCCGUGCUCCCGCCCCAGCUCCUCUCCCGCAGCAGCCGUGCCGCCCCCGCCCCCCCGGUCUCGGACCCUGCACGCGGGUGGCGAGGGGGCAGCGCGGGCGCGGCGGCGGCCGGGCUCCCAAGUCACGUUCGUUCGCUGCUGCUUUCCCAUCCCCUGCCUCCUCGCCCCUCCUCCCCUCCUCCCUCACCCCAGCCGGCUCCGGAGGCGAUUCCCCUCUAGUGACUGAGACGAUCGCAUCUGGGCGAGCGGCGCUUCGCCUCGCUCGCGUCUUUGUCUCCUCCUCCUCCUCCUCCUGCGAGGCUCUGGGGCCGCGCGCAGGGUCUGCAGCAGCCGCCGCAGCCGCCGGAGCCCAGCGGGGCUCUGCACGGCCGCCCGGGGCCGCACCCUCGCUCGGCGGAGGCGCCGGAGGACGCCGGCGAGCCCCGCGAGCCCCCGCGAGCCCCCGCGAGCCAGCCCCGCACCGCCCGCGUCCCGCGCUCCGCCGCCGCCGCGACCCGGCACGAGCCCUCCCGGCCGGGGCUUGGGGUGGGCGGCCCGGCCCGGCCAGCCGCGGGGUGGGGAGCGCGGCCGCCGCAGUUCUGGCAGCUGCACACCCCCAGGCAGACGCAUCCAACGCCUCCUCCCUGCGCCAGGAGGAUGGAGCAGCCGCCCCGGCCCGGGACUGGCGCAAGCUUUAUCUCAGGUGGCCACUGAACAAGGAGCCGCUCCCGCAAGUGGUCUCUGGAAAGAUUUAUGUCUGAGUCUUCUUUUUGUUGACACUACAAAGACACCUCGUCGGAGCUGUCAUCUCGGUCAUCUCAGAAAGAGGCUCAGGUACCCCCCAAGUACACUUGGGAAGACAUAACACAGAAGUUUUGCGAUCACAGGUUAAUAAAAAAGGGAUGACCCUUCA
rnacentral:lncRNA from 12 species